CUUAUCAAACAGUCUUACAAAAUUACAAUACUCUUUCUCUCUCCAAUCAUAACAACCGGCCACCGCAAGACCCAACCAACCCAACUGACCCACAAGUUCGAGAGAGAGGCGAGGAGUUGUUGUUGGGGAAGCUCUUCUUCGGAAGGAGUUCAAAAUCUUCACCGGAAAUUGAAAUGGCUGAAGAGCACCUCGAUGUCCUCACCAAGUCGGGCCACAAAACUGGCAUUUCCAAACCCAGGGGAGAUGUUCAUCGAGAUGGAGAUUACCAUCGAGCAGUUCACAUGUGGAUUUUUGCCGAAAAUACUCAACAACUGCUUCUCCAGCGACGUGCUGACUGCAAAGAUUCAUGGCCAGGGUUAUGGGAUAUAUCCAGUGCUGGUCACAUAUCUGCUGGCGAUUCAUCGCUUGUAACAGCUCGGAGGGAACUUCAAGAAGAGCUCGGUAUAGUCCUUCCAAAGGAUGCAUUUGAAAUGAUAUUCAUAUUUCUUCAGGAGUGUGUCAUAAAUGAUGGAAAAUACAUCAAUAAUGAAUUUAAUGAUGUAUACCUUGUCACAACUCUAGAUCCGAUCCCUCUGGAGGCCUUCACUCUUCAGGAAUCAGAAGUCUCUGCUGUUAAAUACAUUUCUUAUGAGGAGUAUAGAAGCUUACUUGCUAAAGAAGAUCCUGAUUAUGUUCCCUAUGAUGUAAAUGGACAAUAUGGUCGGCUUUUUGACAUAAUUGAACAGAGGUACAAGGAAAACACUGAUGCACGAAGUUUGGCUCUACAGAAGCAACUCCAUCGUUAUGCUUCUGUUACACUCAAUGCAGAGUUGACAGGGGUAACAGAUGCAGACAGGGAAGCUUUGGUUUUGCUUGUCAAGGCAGCAACAAUUAUGGAUGAAAUAUUUAACCUGCAGGUUUGGUAUAGUAAUCCAGUUCUAAGAGAUUGGUUGAAGGAGCAUGCUGAUGCAUCAGAGUUAGACAAGUUAAAAUGGAUGUAUUAUGUGAUUAAUAAAAGUCCAUGGUCUUGCCUUGAUGAGGAUGAGGCAUUUUUGACAACCGCAGAUUCAGCCAUAAAGUUGCUUCCUGAAGCCACACAACAAGUUACUGGGUGGAAGGGUCUUGAAUAUAGAGCUGCUUUUCCUAUGCUGAAGCCCCCUGGUGCAAACUUCUAUCCACCAGACAUGGAUAAAAGGGAAUUUGAAUUAUGGAAGGACAGUCUAACAAAGGAUAAACAAGAUGCAACUGGCUUUUUCAAUGUUAUCAAAAGGCAUAGUGAAUUUGGUCUGGAAUCAUUUCUCUCUAAUGAUACAGCUGACGUGACAAAUCGUUUUGUUGAUUCCACUCAUGAUCUAUGUAUUGUUCCUUUCUCCCAAGAGUAUAAUCCUUUCCUCAAAAAAGCUGCUGAAUUAUUGUGUAAAGCAGGGGACCUGACCAGUUCAUCUAGUUUGAAAAGAUUGCUGCAUAGCAAAGCCAAUGCUUUCCUAUCGAAUGAUUAUUAUGAUUCGGAAAUAGCUUGGAUGGAGUUGGACUCUAAGUUAGAUGUUACUAUCGGUCCCUAUGAGACAUAUGAAGAUGCACUUUUUGGGUACAAGGCAACAUUUGAAGCAUUUAUUGGAGUUCAGGAUGACAAAGCAACUGCUCAACUUAAACUCUUUGGCGAUAAUUUAAGGAUUCUGGAACAAAAUCUCCCGAUGGACAGCAUGUACAAAUCUGAAGAUGUGAUUGCAGCUCCUAUUCGUGUUAUUCAGCUUCUUUAUAAUGCAGGGGAUGUAAAGGGUCCUCAAACUGUUGCUUUCAAUUUACCAAAUGAUGAGCGCAUAGUAAAUGAUCGAGGAACAUCAAUGGUCAUGCUUAAGAAUGUUUCGGAGGCUAAGUUCAAACAUAUUCUUCAGCCAAUAUCUGAUGUUUGUAUUACAAAGGAACAACAAGAACUUGUAGAUUUUGAAUCAUUCUUCACUCACACAAUUUGCCAUGAGUGCUGCCAUGGGAUCGGGCCCCAUACCAUAACACUUCCAAAUGGUCAAAAGUCUACAGUCAGACUGGAACUGCAGGAACUCCACUCUGCUUUGGAAGAAGCAAAAGCUGACAUAGUUGGCCUUUGGGCACUACGGUUUUUAAUCUGCCAGGAUUUACUUUCCAAGAGUUUGUUGAAGUCCAUGUAUAUUUCCUUCCUUGCUGGAUGCUUCCGCUCAGUACGUUUUGGCUUACAGGAAGCUCAUGGGAAAGGACAAGCACUGCAAUUUAACUGGUUGUAUGACAAAGGAGCCUUCAUCCUGCAUCCUGAUGAAACAUUUUCUGUUGACUUUUCUAGGGUCGAAGGUGCAGUUGAAAGCCUGAGUAGGGAGAUCCUCACUAUACAGGCAAAAGGUGACAAAGAAGCUGCAAAUCUACUUCUUCAGAAAUAUGGUAAAAUGACACAACCAUUAAAGAUUGCUUUGCAGAAAUUAGAGAAAAUUCAGGUUCCUGUGGAUAUAGCUCCCAUAUUUCCUAUUGCCAACAAAAUAUUGGAGUGAAGGCACUGGACUUUUCAACUGUCAUCCUUUCCAUCUUUCAAAGAGCAGUCUGAGAAUCAACUGGACUUCUCUCUCUCUCUCUCUCGCGUUAAUGCACAUGAGAUUUAGAAUAACGUGUGUGUAGUUUCCCUGUCCUACUUGAUAGUACGCUUCUCAUGAAAUCCACAUCAUCAAUCCAUGUCAAAUUGGGAGCGUAAAAAAAAAGGGCUACUUUCUCUCUCAUUUUCCGCUCUGUAUUUCAAAAACAAUCCCAUGUGUUCUCUGUCGACUCCAACUCCACUACCUAGCAUCGCUGGUACAGCCACUCAAUAAGUUUUCUCUCAUUUUUUUUUUUGUUGAAUCUUUUUUUAAUAAGCUCUGUUCGGUUGCUGGGAAACAAAGCAAAAUAAGCUUUUUUUGUGGGAUUUAUGGGUUUUUUUAAAUCUGAGUCUCUUCCAAAAACUAUGGGGUUUAAGGGUUGUACAGGUUGUUUUGAUACCACCAGACUCGUUUCAUUUGCAUGAGAAUGUCGUUUCUACUUUUUGUACCCUCUAUAUUUCUCCUAUUGGAAUAAUGAUUAGAAAAAAGAAGCAAGAAUCUAUUUAUUA